rnacentral:rRNA from 1 species
UACGAAGGGGCGAGCGUUGUUCGGAAUUACUGGGCGUAAAGGGCGCGCAGGCGGCUCUGAAAGUCAGAUGUGAAAGCCCCGGGCUUAACCUGGGAACUGCAUUUGAUACUCUGGAGCUUGAGUACGGGAGAGGAUAGUGGAAUUCCCAGUGUAGAGGUGAAAUUCGUAGAUAUUGGGAAGAACACCGGUGGCGAAGGCGGCUAUCUGGACCGUAACUGGACGC